GAUGAACGCUGGCGGCGUGCCUAAUACAUGCAAGUCGAGCGAACAGACGAGGAGCUUGCUCCUCUGACGUUAGCGGCGGACGGGUGAGUAACACGUGGAUAACCUACCUAUAAGACUGGGAUAACUUCGGGAAACCGGAGCUAAUACCGGAUAAUAUAUUGAACCGCAUGGUUCAAUAGUGAAAGACGGUUUUGCUGUCACUUAUAGAUGGAUCUGCGACGCAUUAGCUAGUUGGUAAGGUAACGGCUUACCAAGGCGACGAUGCGUAGCCGACCUGAGAGGGUGAGCGGCCACACUGGAACUAAGACACGGUCCAGACUCCUAGGGGAGGCAGCAGUAGGGAAUCUUCCGCAAUAGGCGAAAGCCUGACGGAGCAACGCCGCGUGAGUGAUGAAGGUCUUCGGAUCGUAGAACUCUGUUAUUAGGGAAGAACAAAUGUGUAAGUAACUAUGCACGUCUUGACGGUACCUAAUCAGAAAGACACGGCUAACUACGUG
rnacentral:rRNA from 1 species